rnacentral:rRNA from 1 species
ACAACGAAGAGUUUGAUCCUGGCUCAGGAUGAACGCUAGCGACAGGCUUAACACAUGCAAGUCGAGGGGCAGCGGGGGUAGCGAUACCCGCCGGCGACCGGCGCACGGGUGAGUAACGCGUAUGCAACUUGCCUAUCAGAGGGGGAUAACCCGGCGAAAGUCGGACUAAUACCGCAUGAAGCAGGGGCCCCGCAUGGGGAUAUUUGCUAAAGAUUCAUCGCUGAUAGAUAGGCAUGCGUUCCAUUAGGCAGUUGGCGGGGUAACGGCCCACCAAACCGACGAUGGAUAGGGGUUCUGAGAGGAAGGUCCCCCACAUUGGUACUGAGACACGGACCAAACUCCUACGGGAGGCAGCAGUGAGGAAUAUUGGUCAAUGGGCGUAAGCCUGAACCAGCCAAGUCGCGUGAGGGAUGAAGGUUCUAUGGAUCGUAAACCUCUUUUAUAAGGGAAUAAAGUGCGGGACGUGUCCCGUUUUGUAUGUACCUUAUGAAUAAGGAUCGGCUAACUCCGUGCCAGCAGCCGCGGUAAUACGGAGGAUCCGAGCGUUAUCCGGAUUUAUUGGGUUUAAAGGGUGCGUAGGCGGCCUUUUAAGUCAGCGGUGAAAGUCUGUGGCUCAACCAUAGAAUUGCCGUUGAAACUGGGGGGCUUGAGUAUGUUUGAGGCAGGCGGAAUGCGUGGUGUAGCGGUGAAAUGCAUAGAUAUCACGCAGAACCCCGAUUGCGAAGGCAGCCUGCCAAGCCAUUACUGACGCUGAUGCACGAAAGCGUGGGGAUCAAACAGGAUUAGAUACCCUGGUAGUCCACGCAGUAAACGAUGAUCACUAGCUGUUUGCGAUACACUGUAAGCGGCACAGCGAAAGCGUUAAGUGAUCCACCUGGGGAGUACGCCGGCAACGGUGAAACUCAAAGGAAUUGACGGGGGCCCGCACAAGCGGAGGAACAUGUGGUUUAAUUCGAUGAUACGCGAGGAACCUUACCCGGGUUUGAACGCAUUCGGACCGAGGUGGAAACACCUUUUCUAGCAAUAGCCGUUUGCGAGGUGCUGCAUGGUUGUCGUCAGCUCGUGCCGUGAGGUGUCGGCUUAAGUGCCAUAACGAGCGCAACCCUUGCCACUAGUUACUAACAGGUAAAGCUGAGGACUCUGGUGGGACUGCCAGCGUAAGCUGCGAGGAAGGCGGGGAUGACGUCAAAUCAGCACGGCCCUUACAUCCGGGGCGACACACGUGUUACAAUGGCGUGGACAAAGGGAGGCCACCUGGCGACAGGGAGCGAAUCCCCAAACCACGUCUCAGUUCGGAUCGGAGUCUGCAACCCGACUCCGUGAAGCUGGAUUCGCUAGUAAUCGCACAUCAGCCAUGGCGCGGUGAAUACGUUCCCGGGCCUUGUACACACCGCCCGUCAAGCCAUGGGAGCCGGGGGUACCUGAAGUCCGUAACCGAAAGGAUCGGCCUAGGGUAAAACUGGUGACUGGGGCUAAGUCGUAACAAGGUAGCCGUACCGGAAGGUGCGGCUGGAACACCUCCUUU